rnacentral:rRNA from 1 species
GACGAACGCUGGCGGCGUGCUUAACACAUGCAAGUCGAACGGUGAGGCCUUGCAUUUGUGGGGUGCUCGAGUGGCGAACGGGUGAGUAUCACGUGAGUAGCCUGCCCUUGACUUUGGGAUAACUUCUUUAAACUCGGGCGCUUACCCGAUAUGAACUCCUUCUGCAUGGUUUUUGUUUUAAAGUUUCGGCGUUUCGGGAUGGACUCGCGGCUUAGCAGCUUGUUGGUGGGGUAGUGGCUUACCAAGGCUUUGACGGGUAGCCGGACUGAGAGGGUGACCGGCCACAUUGGGAUUGAGAUACCGGCCAGACUCCUACGGGAGGAAGGAGUGGGGAAUAGUGCAAGAAGGGCGGAAGCAUGAAGCAGCAACGCCGCGUGGGGGAUGACGGCCGUCGGGUUGUAACCCGGGUUCGCCUGUGAAGAAGAGUGAGUGACGGUAAUGGGUAAAGAAGCAACGGCUAACUACGUG